AAGUCUGACGGAGCAACGCCGCGUGAGUGAUGAAGGUUUUCGGAUCGUAAAACUCUGUUGUCAGGGAAGAACAAGUGCGAGAGUAACUGCUCGCACCUUGACGGUACCUGACCAGAAAGCCACGGCUAACUACGUGCCAGCAGCCGCGGUAAUACGUAGGUGGCAAGCGUUGUCCGGAAUUAUUGGGCGUAAAGCGCUCGCAGGCGGUCUUUUAAGUCUGAUGUGAAAGCCCACGGCUUAACCGUGGAGGGUCAUUGGAAACUGGAGGACUUGAGUACAGAAGAGGAGAGUGGAAUUCCACGUGUAGCGGUGAAAUGCGUAGAGAUGUGGAGGAACACCAGUGGCGAAGGCGACUCUCUGGUCUGUAACUGACGCUGAGGAGCGAAAGCGUGGGGAGCGAACAGGAUUAGAUACCCUGGUAGUCCACGCCGUAAACGAUGAGUGCUAGGUGUUAGGGGGUUUCCGCCCCUUAGUGCUGAAGUUAACGCAUUAAGCACUCCGCCUGGG
rnacentral:rRNA from 1 species